CUUCACUGCCGUGUAGGCAGCUCAGAAA
rnacentral:other from 17 species